rnacentral:rRNA from 1 species
GUCAAGUCAUCAUGGCCUUUAUGUCCAGGGCUGCACACGUGCUACAAUGCGGCGUACAAAGGGACGCCAACUCGCAAGAGGGAGCGAAUCCCAAAAAGCGCCGCCCAGUUCGGAUUGCAGGCUGCAACUCGCCUGCAUGAAGCCGGAAUCGCUAGUAAUCGCAGAUCAGCUAUGUUGCGGUGAAUGUGUUCCCGGGCCUU